rnacentral:rRNA from 1 species
UACGUAGGGUGCAAGCGUUGUCCGGAAUUAUUGGGCGUAAAGAGCUCGUAGGCGGUCUGUCGCGUCGGCUGUGAAAACUCGGGGCUCAACCCCCGAGCCUGCAGUCGAUACGGGCAGACUAGGAGUGCUGUAGGGGAGACUGGAAUUCCUGGUGUAGCGGUGAAAAUGCGCAGAUAUCAGGAGGAACACCGGUGGCGAAGGCGGGUCUCGUGGGCAGUGACUGACGCUGGAGGAGCGAAAGCGUGGGGAGCGAACAGG